rnacentral:rRNA from 1 species
AUUGAACGCUGGCGGCAGGCCUAACACAUGCAAGUCGAACGGUAGCACAGAGAGCUUGCUCUCGGGUGACGAGUGGCGGACGGGUGAGUAAUGUCUGGGAAACUGCCCGAUAGAGGGGGAUAACCACUGGAAACGGUGGCUAAUACCGCAUAACGUCGCAAGACCAAAGAGGGGGACCUUCGGGCCUCUCACUAUCGGAUGGACCCAGAUGGGAUUAGCUAGUAGGCGGGGUAAUGGCCCACCUAGGCGACGAUCCCUAGCUGGUCUGAGAGGAUGACCAGCCACACUGGAACUGAGACACGGUCCAGACUCCUACGGGAGGCAGCAGUGGGGAAUAUUGCACAAUGGGCGCAAGCCUGAUGCAGCCAUGCCGCGUGUAUGAAGAAGGCCUUCGGGUUGUAAAGUACUUUCAGCGGGGAGGAAGGCGGUGAGGUUAAUAACCUCGCCGAUUGACGUUACCCGCAGAAGAAGCACCGGCUAACUCCGUGCCAGCAGCCGCGGUAA